AGCGAACGCUGGCGGCAGGCUUAACACAUGCAAGUCGAGCGGGCCCUUCGGGGUCAGCGGCAGACGGGUGAGUAACGCGUGGGAACGUGCCCUUCGGUUCGGAAUAACUCAGGGAAACUUGAGCUAAUACCGGAUACGCCCUUAUGGGGAAUGGUUUACUGCCGAAGGAUCGGCCCGCGUCUGAUUAGCUAGUUGGUGAGGUGAUGGCUCACCAAGGCGACGAUCAGUAGCUGGUCUGAGAGGAUGAUCAGCCACACUGGGACUGAGACACGGCCCAGACUCCUACGGGAGGCAGCAGUGGGGAAUAUUGGACAAUGGGGGCAACCCUGAUCCAGCCAUGCCGCGUGAGUGAUGACGGCCUUAGGGUUGUAAAGCUCUUUUCUCCGGGACGAUAAUGACGGUACCGGAGGAAUAAGCCCCGGCUAACUUCGUG
rnacentral:rRNA from 1 species